UACAGAGGGGGCAAGCGUUAUUCGGAAUUAUUGGGCGUAAAGGGCGCGUAGGCGGCAUGGCAAGUGGAUGGUGAAAUCCCUCGGCUUAACCGAGGAACUGCCGUCCAAACUGCUUCGCUUGAGGACUGGAGAGGAGACUGGAAUUCAUGGUGUAGCAGUGAAAUGCGUAGAGAUCAUGAGGAAGACCAGUGGCGAAGGCGGGUCUCUGGACAGUUCCUGACACUGAGACACGAAGGCCAGGGGAGCAAACGGG
rnacentral:rRNA from 1 species